AUCAGCUCAUUUCAAUAAACUCUUAUUGACUGAAGGUAUAUUACAUGACAGAUACUGUACUACAUAUUAGAACAUGAAAAUGAAUCAUGUUAUCUGCACUCAAAAAGCUUUCAGUCCAAUACAGAUAAAGGCAUAUAAACAGAAAAUGUCAAUGCAGAAUGUCAGGGAUAUGAAUGGCAUCUAAGUGGGAACACUAUCUUAAAUGACUAUCCAAGUAGAGUCUCACAGAAUGGAGUUAAAUGGGAAUGAGAGCAGUUAUUCCAGACAGAGCAAACAGCCUAAACAAAGGCAAAGAGGCAUGAAAAAGAUGCUUGAAUAAAAAAAAAAUUGUUUUGUAUUAACAUAUAAUUAGGGGCAUAUAACUAAUGCCCCUACUUUAAGACUGAGACAUGUCCUAAAGUUUAAGAUUAAUAUAGUAACUAACCAUUUUCUUUCUCACAAAAUUAAGACACAUGUAAUUAACCUAGUAAGGUCAUGGCAGAGUCACAGCACCUGACUCAAUAAAGCGGCUGAGGAAAGGGAAGUAUUCCUCAAUGACCUACUUACUGAGGUUUCAAUUUUGCAUUCCAAAAAAUCUUGUAACUACCCCAGAUUGGAAAGAAAGGCCCCACCACUAAACCUCACUAAAAUUAAAUAGCUUCUAAAAUAUAUGUCAAUCAGUACAUACAAACAUAAAUUUUUGCCAAAAGACCAUGCAAAAUAUUACAACUAUACACUUAUGUCUUCAGAAUUGUUCAAAUAUUACUUUCUAUGAUGCCUGAGAAAAAAUACAUUCAUUUGCUUCCAGACUCCUGGAUGGAGAAUGCAGUCUACCAAAAAAAGCAUGGCAUUCAAAUUAGAAUGAGUCACACAAGUCAUAGUGAAAAAUAGCAAAGCAUAAUUAAAUAAACAUGGACAAUUCACCAAGGAAAAAACACAAGGCAAAUAUGAACAUGGGAAAACAUUCAGCCACAUAAAUGAUGCGGGGUGGGGGGGAAUGACAGAAACAAAGCACCAUUUUUACCAAGUAAUUAACAAGAAAAAAAACGUUUUAAAGAACAUACCUGCAUCAUUUUAAAUUUUCUUUGUGUUACCUUGCUUUUGGCAGAUGAAGAAAGAGAAGCUUAUGCCAAGAAUGCCAAAUACUCUUAUGAAAGGAAAAGUAAUGCUGAAUUUGCCAAGAGACUGCAGAAAUCAAGACUAUUUCAAGAGGAAGACAUAGUCAAUUCUACUGAGAAGACAGGAAAGGUCAGAAAAGCAUCCAGUGAAUGGCUCUGGCAAUAUGGAAUUAUUUGAUGAUUUUUUUUUUUUUUGUCUUUUUUAGGUCUGCACCCUCAGCAUAUAGAGGUUCCCAGCCUAGGGGUCGCAUUGGACUGUAGCUGCCAGCCUACCUCGCAGCCAACAGCAAUGUGGAAUCCAAGCAGCAUCUGGGGCCUAGGACCUAUACUACAACUCACAAUGAUGCCUGAUCCUUAACCCACUGAGCGAGGCCAGGGAUCAAACCCGCAUCCUAAUGGAUAUUAGUUGGGUUCGUUACCACUGAGCCACGAAGGGAACUCCCUGUUUGAUGAUCUUUUUUUUUUCUGGUACUUUUCUGUCUUUUCUAGGGCCCCACCCACAGCAUACGGAGGUUCCCAGGCUAGGAGUCCAAUCGGAGCUGUAGCGGCCGGCCUAUGCCAGAGCAACAGCAACGCAGGAUCUGAGCUGCGUCUGCGACCUACAUACACCACAGCUCACGGCAACACCAGAUCCUCAACCCACUGAGCUGCCAGCGAUCAAACCCGCAACCUCAUGGUUCCUAGUCGGAUUCAUUAACCACUGAGCCACGACAGGAACUCCGGUGUUCGAUGAAUUUUUAAAAAGCAAUUUCAGCUGAGUAGUAGUGUAGAAAUCAGAACUGAAGAAAGCACAUAUAGAUAACUCUUUGUAAAAUGUUUGGCCAAAUAGCUAAUUAAAGAAAUGGAACCACAGCUAGAAAAGAAUAUAGUGCUAAAUAAAGGUUUAUUUUAAGAUAGGAGAUACCAGAGCAGGUUCACAUGCUGAGAUAAAUGAUCCAAUGGGACAGGAAAAGUGGAAGAGGCAAGGGUUUAAGCAAAGGAACGAAAUAUUUGAGAUGGGGAGAGCUCACAUGGAACAACUACUCUUUGACAGAACAGUUCUUUUGGAAACUGUCCUCUUUGGAAAAAAGACAAAGUUGCAAGGUCUUACGUAACUGCUGUGCAGCAAUCUAGCGUCAGUGUUCUAUGCCAAGAGCAAAGUUUGACCCUCUUUCUUGUGAAGCACUUUAUGGGAUCCUCAGAGACCCUCCUUAAUGUGGGUGAUGCAUUCUCCAGCUAACAUUCCAUACUUUCAAUUCAACUUAGAAGGCACAAACCACACGGUCUCUUUCUGAUAGAGACACUUUCCAAUAGCAGACAGUUUUCUUGGGCAAGAUUCUUAUAAGACAGCUCUAUCCCAGCUACCAUCUGCUCUACUUAUUUAGCCCACAGGCAGGGGGGAAAAUCAGUAUUUUAGAGUUCCCAUCAGGGCUCAGCAGAAAUGAAUCUGACUAGUACCCACGAGGACCCAGGUUCGAUCCCUGGCCUCGCUCAGUGGGUUAAGGAUCCCUCACUGCUGCAGCUGUGGUAUAGGCUGGCGGCUCCAGCUCCAAUUCGACCCCUAGCCUGGGAGCUUCCAUAUGCUGAGGGAUUUAACCUCCAGACCUUUCUCAAGAAAAGUCAGGCAACAAUUUUCAUGCCUACUCCCAUAUCAUGCCCAGAUUAGCAAGUAAAGCUCAAACUGGAAAUGAAAUCUCUGUCCUCCUUUUCAUUAGACAACCUCAAUUUCUUUGACUGAUUUUCAUAACCUGAUUUAUUUGGAAAUGAGGGAGAAGCAUAGGACUUCUACAACUCUCUUAUAAGAAAUUUUCAUUCAUUUAUAAUCUAUUUACAUACACAUAUGUAAAUGAAUGGGUAUAUAUCCAUAUAUAUGUAUAUUCAUGCAUAUACACAGAAUAGGGAUAAAAAGCAGUCUCAUCUUUCUGUAGGUCCUAUAUGAGUAACCUAACACUUUUAAUUAAAAUAUGGAGGUAAUUGUUAAAUACUGUCCUCAUCUUUGGAGCCUACAAUGCCAAGACAACAACAGCAAAAGUCUCAUUUGAUAUUGUUAUAUAAAUAAUUAGAAAUCAUAUAAACGUUCAACAACAUGGAAAGAGUUAAAUUUAGCACAACUAUAUCAUAUUUAGUACUAAAAACUGCUUAUGAAUAAUCUUUAUGCUGUAAAGAAGACUGAAAACUAUUUAAAAUAAAGCCCUAAACACCCAAAA
rnacentral:lncRNA from 1 species